UCGCAUCGUAGCGAUAAACGGGCAGAAUUUAUUGCAUUUGCGGUAUGAAGAUGCUUUGAAAAUGCUGCAGUGCUGGUCCUCUCUCAAGCUACUUCCCGUAAAAACGCGACCUCCAGGAAGAAUCUCGAACAACCUGCGGAAAAUAACUAUUUGAAUGACAUCAGAUUCGACGUGUCCUCGGAAGCAGAUACGUCGAGCAUGACAAACAAAUGGCUCGUUCAAAGGAUCACCGACAUUGCAUCUGUUCAAAACACCUCGAGUGCGUACAGCAGUGGCGUAUCGAGUGCAAUGGGUAAUCACAAUGCAAACAGCCUAUACAUGGCCGAUCUUGUCGAUAAUGGUGCACUUAAGCCCGCAGGUAUGCUGCUCAGUAUAGAGGACUUCGACGUCAGCAGGACGAUUCGCAAAGUUUUUAUUUAAUCGUCGAUAAAGCAAGUACAGAAUCUAUUAGCAGUACACCGCCAGUCCCACCGAGACGGAAGAAGCGCAAAGCGAAGCUCGCCGCGAUUGCAAAAUCUCCGAAAGGAACGUCACCGACUCGUCUCAGAAAACCAAACAAAAAGCGUUCGGCGCCACUGCCUCCGCCGCGAGCAGUCCGAAAGUUCAAAUCUCACGUCGCCAAAGAUCAGGGAGAAGAAAGGACGUCGAACUCGCAUACAGUAGACGAUGCGGAAGAAACGCUAAAUAGUCUAAGUUCGAAUGAGACGGGGGAAACUUCUCAGCCGUGGUCUUUGCAGCUCGAGGAUGCUGACUCGAUACGGAUCGAGAAAGCCAGUAAAGAUGAA